AGUGAACGCUGGCGGCGUGCCUAACACAUGCAAGUCGAACGAUGAUGGAUGAGCUUGCUCAUCCUGAUUAGUGGCGCACGGGUGAGUAUACCAUAGAUAAUGUACCCCUUAGUUCGGGAUAGCCACUGGAAACGGUGAUUAAUACCGGAUACUCCUUCUUGCCAUAAGGUAAGUCGGGAAAGUUUUUUCGCUAAGGGAUCAGUCUAUGUCCUAUCAGGUAGUUGGUGAGGUAACGGCUCACCAAGCCUAUGACGGGUAUCUGGUUUGAGAGGAUGAUCAGACAUACUGGAACUGAGACACGGUCCAGACUCCUACGGGAGGCAGCAGUGAGGAAUAUUGCACAAUGGAGGAAACUCUGAUGCAGCAACGUCGCGUGGAGGAUGACGCAUUUCGGUGUGUAAACUCCUUUUAAGAGGGAAGAUUAUGACGGUACCUCUUGAAUAAGCACCGGCUAACUCCGUGCCAGCAGCCGCCGCGGUAA
rnacentral:rRNA from 1 species